GGGGGUUUAGCUCAUCGUAGGUAGAGCAUCUGAUUUGCAAUCAGAAGGUGGCCGGUUCGAGCCCGGCAAUCUCCAC
rnacentral:tRNA from 7 species